GGGGAUUUAGCUCAGCGGCAUAAGCACCUGCCUUGCAAGCAGGUAGGUGAAUUCAAUCCCUG
rnacentral:tRNA from 1 species